ACGAGCGCAACCCUUAUCCUUUGUUGCCAGCGGUCCGGCCGGGAACUCAAAGGAGACUGCCAGUGAUAAACUGGAGGAAGGUGGGGAUGACGUCAAGUCAUCAUGGCCCUUACGACCAGGGCUACACACGUGCUACAAUGGCAUAUACAAAGAGAAGCGACCUCGCGAGAGCAAGCGGACCUCAUAAAGUAUGUCGUAGUCCGGAUUGGAGUCUGCAACUCGACUCCAUGAAGUCGGAAUCGCUAGUAAUCGUAGAUCAGAAUGCUACGGUGAAUACGUUCCCGGGCCUUGUACACACCGCCCGUCACACCAUGGGAGUGGGUUGCAAAAGAAGUAGGUAGCUUAACCUUCGGGAGGGCGCUUACCACUUUGUGAUUCAUGACUGGGGUGAAGUCGUAACAAGGUAACCGUAGGGGAA
rnacentral:rRNA from 1 species